UACGGGGGGGGCAAGCGUUGUUCGGAAUUACUGGGCGUAAAGGGCGCGUAGGCGGUCAGCACAGGUCAGUUGUGAAAUCUCCGGGCUUAACUCGGAAAGGUCAACUGAUACUGUGCGACUAGAGUGCAGAAGGGGCAACUGGAAUUCUCGGUGUAGCGGUGAAAUGCGUAGAUAUCGAGAGGAACACCUGCGGCGAAGGCGACUUUCUGGUCUGUAACUGACACUGAGGCGCGAAAGCGUGGGGAGCGAACAGG
rnacentral:rRNA from 1 species